UCUGCGCAUUAUUACCCGCCUAACGCAGCGUGCUUUUAAAUAAAAUAUGCAAAGAUUUCCCUCUCAAAUUAUCUCUCCAGGCAAGUGAGCUCAACUCCAGCUUGUUAAUGGAAAAAAUGCAAAUAGGGCCUCCCACCCUUCUCCCCCAGCCCCUAGGCUCUGGACAGCUAAUGCGCUUUGCUUUGCUCCUUCCUAGGAAUUUCUGUUUCCACUGAAACCUGCGUCAUUUUUGAGGAAGCUUUUCUCAGCUGCUUCUGCUGGCUGUUUCCAGCCCAACUCAUCUCAUCCUCAAAGCUCUCCUGAAAUGAAGGGUUUGGGAAGGACAGAAGAGAAUCCAAGGGGGUUGAAUUUCUGCAUGCAAAUGAGGUAGAGAAAUGCUGUUGCUGCUGCAUGAAAAUGUGUCCUGCAGUCUGGGAGUGGGAUUGUGUCUGCUUUAGGACAUAAAUGCUGACUUUCAGAGACCCUCCUGCGAACCUGGAGAAAAACUCAGUCCCCUUCAUAAUCAUCACGUUAGACAAGGAGCGAGGAAUGGCACGUUUCAUCCUAGUGGAAUAAUGCGUGCGUUCUGUAAAGACUAUCAGGUGGAGCCUGUCUCUUAGAAAAUAAUCAGGGUAUUUCUGAGGUAAAGACUGGCUACUUCCAACCAGAGAACAGUUCAUCUUCCAUCACAAUCCUGGGUCAAGCUCUUCAGAUAUGAGUCCAGUCUCUCAGAACGCACAUCAGAGCCCUGGCCUGCCUGACUGCAUUGCAGUCCUUUGGGAUGAGGCUGACAGCCCCUUCAUGGACCUGCUGGGACCAACUUUCUUUCUCUUAAAUUUAUCUACCUUAAAACUGCUAUGACAAGCUUUCUAAAAUAUGUACUUGGCUG